rnacentral:lncRNA from 1 species
AUGGCCCCGUGACUCCAAUGAGUUUUGACUCUACUAUGGGAUUACCAUAACAGGGAUGCCCNNNNNNNNNNNNNNNNNNNNNNNNNGAAGAGGAAGCACAGCUGGCCAUGGCACUGCAACAGUCCAUAAGGGACAAGGAGGAGGAGGAGGAGGAUGAAGAGGAAGCACAGCUGGUGAUGGCACUGCAGCGAUCCAUGAAGGAGAUGAAGGAGGAGGAGGAAGAGGAGGAUGCGCAGCUGGCACUGGCACUGCAACGGUCCAUAAGGGACAAGGAUGAGGAGGAGGAUGAGGAGGAAGCACAGCUGAUGUUGGCACUGCAAUGCUCCAUAAGGGACAAGGAGGAAGAGGAGGAAGAGGAGGAGGAAGAAGCACAGCUGGCCAUGGCAAUGCAGCGCUCCAUAAUGGAAAAGAAAGAGGAUGAUGAUGAUGAUGAUGAUGAUGACGAUGAUGACGAUGAUGAAGAUGAAGAUGAAACCCACCCAUCCCCACAUCUCCCCCCUACUCUCCCCCUCUCUUCCACCACAUCCUCCCUGGAUUGCUCCCUUCGGGCGGCGGCGUCUGACCGCGCUGAGCUUCGUUUGGUCGCCGUUUCGGAGCGGGAUGGGGUGGCGGCGGCGGCGGCGCUGCGGGCGGCGCUACGUGCCGAGCUGCGGACGGUGCUGGUGAGGGACCGGGCGCUGCCGCGGGUGCCGUCGGUGUGCGUAGAGCUGCUGGCGCGGAGACACGGAGUGUGGAUACGGAGCCGGGGAUGCGGAGCCGCCGUGACCGGCUUCGGGGACGUCGUGGGGACGGCGGAGACGGAGCUGAGGGAGCUGCUGAGGGGAGCAGGACGGGGUGGAAGGUGGAGAAAAGGUGAGUGAGGGGGGUUGGGUUAGGGAUGGGGGGGAGGGCACAGCAGGAGCCCGAUGGGUGCCCAAUGAGUGCCCUAUGGGUGCCCAAUAAUUGCCAAUGAGUGCCCUAUGGGCGCCCUUUGAGGGACAAUGAGUGCCCUAUGAGAGCUCUAUGGGUGCCCUAUGGGUGCCCUAUGGGUGCCAAUCAGUGCCAGUGAGUGCCCUAUGAGGGCCAAUGAGUGCCCUAUGGGUGCCCAAUGAGUGCCCUAUAGGUACCCUAUGAGUGCUCAAUGAGUGCCCUAUGGGUGCCCUAUGAGUGCUCAAUGAGUGCCCUAUGGGUGCCCAAUGAGUGCCUUAUGGGUGCCCAAUGAGUGCCCUAUGGGUGCCCUGUGGGUGCCCAAUGAGUGCCCUAUGGGUGCUCUAUGGGAGCCCUAUGGGUGCCCCAUGAGAGCCCUAUGGGUGCCCAAUGAGUGCCCUAUGAGAGCCCUAUGGGUGCCCUAUGNNNNNNNNNNNNNNNNNNNNNNNNNUAUGGGUGCCCAAUGAGUGCCCUAUGAGUGCCCUAUGGGUGCCCUGUGGGUGCCCAAUGAGUGCCCUAUGGGUGCCCUAUGAGUGCCCUAUGGGUGCCCAAUGAGUGCCUUAUGGGUGCCCUAUGAGUGCCCUAUGAGUGCCCUAUGGGUGCCCAAUGAGUGCCCUAUGGGUGCCCCAUGAGGGCCAAUGAGUGUCCUAUGAGAGUUCUAUGGGUGACCAAUGGGUGCCCUAUGGGUGCCCUAUGAGAGCCCUAUGGGUGCUCAAUGAGUGCCUUAUGGGUGUCCUAUGAAGGUGCAAUGAGUGCCCAAUGGGUGCCCUAUGGGUGCCCUAUGAGAGCCCUAUGGGCACCCUAUGAAGGCCAAUGAGGGUCCUAUGGGUGCCCUAUGAGUGCCCAAUGAGUUGCCCAAUGGUUACCCUAUGAGAGCCCUAUGGGCACCCUAUGAAGGCCAGUGAGGGUCCUAUGGGUGCCCUAUGAGUGCCCAAUGAGUUGCCCAAUGGUUAC